UAGAGAUUUAAAACCUUUUCAAUACACAUCAAGCUUAUAUAUAGCUGUCACAAACCUUCAUAUGACUGCUGUGUUAGAGUAUUGAUGAUGGAUGGUUGUAUAAUGAUUGCUUUCAUAUAAUUAGGAUGACUUAUCUUAGCAAUAUCACUACAGAUAAUUAUGGCUUGUCCAUAUUCUAGUUAAUUACUGUAUCAUUUCACAAACUUUAUGAGGAAUAAGAAAAAAAACCAGUACAUUUCAUUAGAUAUUGUGUAUUGCUAUUAGCUAGAAGAACUGACCAGAUGUACAGGGGACCCUUGUAAUCACAAGUAAUGACUAUGAAGAUAUAUUGGACAAACUGGGCUUAUUUUCUAUAUAAUUAUGUAAUUCUUUGUUUCCUUAAUCAUGGGAAAUAGAUGAAACCAAUGAAAUUCUUGGCACAAUGCCCUUUAUUAGAGUUUUGUUUUUUC